rnacentral:lncRNA from 10 species
CAGGCGGCCGCGGCGCGACCCCAGCCGGUGCCGGGACAGCCCCGCAGCCUGGGCCGCCGCUCCCCCUCCCCGGAGCCCGGAAUGGAUCCGUCCCGGAAAUAAAUAAAUAAACCCGCGGCUGCUCCGGGUGUGUGCUGCGCGCACCUGAGGCCGACCUGUGAUUCACCGCGGGAGGGAUGGCAGUGACAACGCUCCGGGGAAGUCCACAGUGACUCCUCCGCCAGGACGCCGCUGGUUGUAUAGGAAAAGCACGCGGACGGGAAGCCACACUCACCGAAAACCUCAGUAAACUAAAUUUAUGAGUUUACAUCUGUUCCAUCAAUGACCACGGUGCACACCUGUUUGGCUUCAUGGCCGGCAACUACAGAUCUAGGUAUCCAAGAUCAAGAGGGACAAUUACAUAUUAUAAGCCGCACAGAGAAGAGUAAUCAAGGUGGACAUGAACUUGUGCUAUAUAAGUUAUGGGUUGAAGAACUCUGUGGAAAGUAGAGAAGAAAAAAUUUAGGGAACAAGCAGUAGUUGAAUACAGCUAUGUGAAACUAUGAGAACUAUGUGAAAGAGUGUUUGGAUCCAAAGAUGAAAGAGCUGACACAAGAGUGGAUUUUCUGAGAGCUGUUUGAGCAGAGAAAACUUGAAGGAGAUACAGUGAGUAGAACACAACCUGUAGGUGGUUUGAAGACCUGAGGACUCCAAUACCUCCCAACUCUCAUAUUCUCUAUAGUUUUUCUAGAAAAGCCCAUGUAUUGGGGCAUAACCUAUAAAGAUGAUAGCAACUAAAAUGGAUAAAUCAAUGACAUAAAAUGUUUAUUUCUUCUCUUGAUUAAAUGACAGAUACCCCAAUCUGCAGGCAUCAUAUGUUAUGACUGCCUCCACUCUCUGCAUUUUGAGAAAGCCUCUACAGAAAUUCUCAAAGGAAUGGCUUUACUGGGGAGUGAAGUUCUUUCAGCUUUAUUGUGGAGUGAAGCCUGCUGCACAUAAUGGAGAACACUGGCCCAGUCACUCAAAUCACAAAGGCUAUUUCGUAUGUGCUUCAAAGAUAUAAGACAGUCCAGACCUAAACCACAGGAACAAGGAGCAAGGUGGAUUUUGCCGAGCAUC